GACGAACGCUGGCGGCGUGCUUAACACAUGCAAGUCGAACGGAAAGGCCCUGCUUUUGUGGGGUGCUCGAGUGGCGAACGGGUGAGUAACACGUGAGUAACCUGCCCUUGACUUUGGGAUAACUUCAGGAAAAUGGGGCUAAUACCGGAUAGGAGCUCCUGCUGCAUGGUGGGGGUUGGAAAGUUUCGGCGGUUGGGGAUAGACUCGCGGCUUAUCCGCUUGUUGGUGGGGUAGUGGCUUACCAAGGUUUUGACGGGUAGCCGGCCUGAGAGGGUGACCGGCCACAUUGGGACUGAGAGACGGCCCAGACGCCUACGGGAGGCAGCAGUGGGGAAUAUUGCACAAUGGGCGGAAGCCUGAUGCAGCAACGCCGCGUGCGGGAUGACGGCCUUCGGGUUGUAAACCGCUUUCUCCUGUGACGAAGCGUGAGUGACGGUAAUGGGUAAAGAAGCACCGGCUAACUACGUG
rnacentral:rRNA from 1 species